GAUGAACGCUGGCGGCGUGCCUAAUACAUGCAAGUCGAGCGAACGGACGAGAAGCUUGCUUCUCUGAUGUUAGCGGCGGACGGGUGAGUAACACGUGGAUAACCUACCUAUAAGACUGGGAUAACUUCGGGAAACCGGAGCUAAUACCGGAUAAUAUUUUGAACCGCAUGGUUCAAAAGUGAAAGACGGUCUUGCUGUCACUUAUAGAUGGAUCCGCGCUGCAUUAGCUAGUUGGUAAGGUAACGGCUUACCAAGGCAACGAUGCAUAGCCGACCUGAGAGGGUGAUCGGCCACACUGGAAGUGAGACACGGUCCAGACUCCUACGGGAGGCAGCAGUAGGGAAUCUUCCGCGAGGGGCGAAAGCCUGACGGAGCAACGCCGCGUGAGUGAUGAAGGUCUUCGGAUCGUAAAACUCUGUUAGUAGUGAAGAACAUAUGUGUAAGUAACUGUGCACAUCUUGACGGUACCUAAUCAGAAAGCCACGGCUAACUACGUG
rnacentral:rRNA from 1 species